rnacentral:rRNA from 1 species
AUGCUCCUGCGAGGUGCACGCGAGGAUCUGGUCCAGGACGUGCUUGAACGGCGUGUCGCCGUCGAACACCCUGACCUGGAUGCCCAGCCGUUCGUCCGAAUUUUUCAGGUAGGAAUCGUAGAACCUCGUGAUCAGCCCCCACACUUUGUUCGUCGGGUGGAAGAGGUACCGUGCCAGGAGGUAGAACACCGAGUCCUUUCGGGGGAAAAGCUUGUCGAGCUCCUCCUGGUACGCCGGGUUCAGGAAGAGCGCGGGCACGAAGUAGCCGUCCGUCCUCAUCACCAGCCACGGCGCACGGUGGAGGAACUCCCGGUGGUCGUCGCAGUAGAAGAGCUUGUCGUGGUAGGUGCAGGCGUGGUCGAGGUCGACGAAGACGUAUGGGAGAUCGGACACGGACGCGGCCCGGCCGUACUCCCGCACCAGGUUCCGGUAGCUCUCCGGCACCUCGCCGGUCAGGUUCUCGAGGUCCCUGAGCGGGAAGUCCGGGGGCAGCAACCACGACGUCUCCUGGAACGGCUCGCAGAGGAGGUCGGGCAGCGACGUGCCCCUGUGGACGAGCAGCACGCGGUCGGUGAGCAUGGCGUAGAGGAACGCCGACGCCAUGGCCAGUAUCCGGUUCCCCAGGCCCCUGUAAGGCACCAGCACGAGGUACUUGCAGGCGUCGUCAUCCGUGGUUGUGCUAGUGCCAUCUUCUCGGGGCCCCAGCCGCUCCGCCGCUCGCCGGUAUGUCUCGGUGCCCGGGCCGCACCGCCUCUGCAGCGCCUCCUGCUCCCGCAGCCGCUUCACGAGGUGUGUCGACGGCGAGCGCGCCAGCUUCUUGAGGUGGGAGGUGGACUGGUACCGGCUGAUGCACGAUUGUUCGUCGAACCCGGGAACAAGCAGGCCUCCGAGGAGCCCGUCCUGAUUGGAUUCUGCAGGGCAACACGUGAAAGAAAUCAGCGCCUCUUCUACCCAAUUUGGCAUCGUGUAACGCAUAUCUCCUACAGUUAA